UUGAUAGACCACUGGCCAGAGGGAAGCUUGGACCUGCAGGCGUACUGACAUACACAACAGGUGGGGUAAGAGCAACCAGAAGCAUCCCCGCCCUGCCUUGCGCGGCGCCACCUCGCCAGACAUGAGCAAAUGGAACCUACAACAGAAGGGGAACGCUAAGUGAGUGGCAGUGUGGCGUGGGCAGGCGGCGAGACAGGCCUUUGCAACGGCUGGAGUGGAUGCAGGCCCUGCGGAUUGACGCUUUUCAAACCCUGAUGGCGUGAAUGAUUGGCUAUAUAGAGGCGCGUCCCGAGAGAAGGUCCUGUGUUCAUUUCAACCAGAAGAAACGCUGCCACCGUUUGUACUAUUUCUCUAAUAAUUUAUUAAGUUUGUGUUUGUAAUGAAUUAUAAUUGUACAUACAGG